rnacentral:ncRNA from 17 species
ACACCGACGCGGCGCAAUGAUCCCCCGGCAGUAUCUGGUCGCCUUGCCGGGCGAGGAGCGAGUGGCGAACCCAACGCAGAGC